GAUAAACGCUGGCGGCGUGCCUAAUACAUGCAAGUCGAGCGAACGGACGAGAAGCUUGCUUCUCUGAUGUUAGCGGCGGACGGGUGAGUAACACGUGGAUAACCUACCUAUAAGACUGGGAUAACUUCGGGAAACCGGAGCUAAUACCGGAUAAUAUUUUGAACCGCAUGGUUCAAAAGUGAAAGACGGUCUUGCUGUCACUUAUAGAUGGAUCCGCGCUGCAUUAGCUAGUUGGUAAGGUAACGGCUUACCAAGGCAACGAUGCAUAGCCGACCUGAGAGGGUGAUCGGCCACACUGGAACUGAGACACGGUCCAGACUCCUACGGGAGGCAGCAGUAGGGAAUCUUCCGCAAUGGGCGAAAGCCUGACGGAGNCACGCCGCGUGAGUGAUGAAGGUCUUCGGAUUGUAAAACUCUGUUAUUAGGGAAGACAUAUGUGUUAGUAACUGUGCACAUCUUGACGGUACCUAAUCGAAAGGCACGGCUAACUACGUGCCAGCAGCCGGGGUAUACGUAGGUGGCAGCGUUAUCCGGAAUAAUGGGCGUAAAGCGCGUAGCGGUUUUUUAAGUCUGAUGUGAAAGCCCACGGCUCAACCGUGGAGGGUCAUUGGAAACUGGAAAACUUGAGUGCAGAAGAGGAAAGUGGAAUUCCAUGUGUAGCGGUGAAAUGCGCAGAGAUAUGGAGGAACACCAGUGGCGAAGGCGACUUUCUGGUCUGUAACUGACGCUGAUGUGCGAAAGCGUGGGGAUCAAACAGGAUUAGAUACCCUGGUAGUCCACGCCGUAAACGAUGAGUGCUAAGUGUUAGGGGGUUUCCGCCCCUUAGUGCUGCAGCUAACGCAUUAAGCACUCCGCCUGGGGAGUACGACCGCAAGGUUGAAACUCAAAGGAAUUGACGGGGACCCGCACAAGCGGUGGAGCAUGUGGUUUAAUUCGAAGCAACGCGAAGAACCUUACCAAAUCUUGACAUCCUUUGACAACUCUAGAGAUAGAGCCUUCCCCUUCGGGGGACAAAGUGACAGGUGGUGCAUGGUUGUCGUCAGCUCGUGUCGUGAGAUGUUGGGUUAAGUCCCGCAACGAGCGCAACCCUUAAGCUUAGUUGCCAUCAUUAAGUUGGGCACUCUAAGUUGACUGCCGGUGACAAACCGGAGGAAGGUGGGGAUGACGUCAAAUCAUCAUGCCCCUUAUGAUUUGGGCUACACACGUGCUACAAUGGACAAUACAAAGGGCAGCGAAACCGCGAGGUCAAGCAAAUCCCAUAAAGUUGUUCUCAGUUCGGAUUGUAGUCUGCAACUCGACUACAUGAAGCUGGAAUCGCUAGUAAUCGUAGAUCAGCAUGCUACGGUGAAUACGUUCCCGGGUCU
rnacentral:rRNA from 1 species